CCUACGGGAGGCAGCAGUGAGGAAUAUUGGUCAAUGGACGAGAGUCUGAACCAGCCAAGUAGCGUGAAGGAUGACUGCCCUAUGGGUUGUAAACUUCGUUUAUAUGGGAAUAAAAUGUUCCACGUGUGGGAUUUUGUAUGUACCAUAUGAAUAAGGAUCGGCUAACUCCGUGCCAGCAGCCGCGGUAAUACGGAGGAUCCGAGCGUUAUCCGGUUUUAUUGGGUUUAAAGGGAGCGUAGGUUGGUUUGUAAGUCAGUUGUGAAAGUUUGCGGCUCAACCGUAAAAUUGCAGUUGAAACUUGCAGUCUAGAGUACAGUAGAGGUGGGCGGAAUUCGUGGUGUAGCGGUGAAAUGCUUAGAUAUCACGAAGAACUCCGAAUGCGAAGGCAGUUCACUGGACUGCAACUGACACUGAGGCUCGAAAGUGUGGGUAGCAAACAGGAUUAGAUACCCGAGUAGUC
rnacentral:rRNA from 1 species